rnacentral:rRNA from 1 species
AUUGAACGCUGGCGGCAUGCUUUACACAUGCAAGUCGAACGGUAACAGGUUAAGCUGACGAGUGGCGAACGGGUGAGUAAUGCAUCGGAACGUGCCCGGUCGUGGGGGAUAACGCAGCGAAAGCUGCGCUAAUACCGCAUACGAUCUGAGGAUGAAAGCGGGGGACCGUAAGGCCUCGCGCGAUCGGAGCGGCCGAUGUCAGAUUAGGUAGUUGGUGGGGUAAAGGCUCACCAAGCCGACGAUCUGUAGCUGGUCUGAGAGGACGACCAGCCACACUGGGACUGGGACACGGCCCAGACUCCUACGGGAGGCAGCAGUGGUGAAUUUUGUACAAUGGGCGCAAGCCUGAUCCAGCAAUGCCGCGUGCAGGAAGAAGGCCUUCGGGUUGUAAACUGCUUUUGUACGGAGCGAAAAGGCUCUCUCUAAUACAGGGGGCUCAUGACGGUACCGUAAGAAUAAGCACCGGCUAACUACGUGCCAGCAGCCGCCGUAAUAC